rnacentral:rRNA from 1 species
ACUCUGAGAGAGAGUAAACAGUGCGUGAAGCCGUUCAGAGGUAAACAGAUGGAGUUGAACUGUGGUUCCCGAGGGUUCAGCUGGUGAUUUUGAUUGGGCUUGGCCAAAGAUGUUGAACUCUGGGGUCUGUUGAGCUGCAGGUCUUUGCCUUCGGGUGAGGAUGCGCGGUAUGCUCGUUGAGUGUUGCGCGCCCCAGGUGUUCCGGGCUGAGUCGCCAGUGCAUUCCCUCGGGACGGUCACCACGACCGACACUGCUGUCAGUCUAUUGUGGUUAAACCGAUUGUGUAUUGUCUUCGGGCUUUGCGUAGUCGGGAUGGCAGGUAGCUCGUUGGUUUGCUUGCAGGCUUUCGGGUGUAAUCAGCUGACUAUGAUUUGGGCUGUGCAGUGUGUCGGGGACGGCGGCUUGAGGUGCGUGCGUGCGUGCCUGUUCUGCUGGCGUGUCCAUGUCAGGUUGCUCAGUUGCUCACAUAGUGGGCCAAGCGGCGACUGGGACGCGUUUGGUGGGCGGUUGCGUGCGUUGUACUAUUAUUGGGCCGACAGUCUGUGGUGUUGCGGUAGACUAUCCACCUGACCCGUCUUGAAACACGGAC